AGAGUUUGAUCAUGGCUCAGAACGAACGCUGGCGGCAUGCCUAAUACAUGCAAGUCGAACGCAGGGUCCUGGUUCGCUGGGGCUCUGAGUGGCGCACGGGUGAGUAGCGCGUGGGAACCUGCCCUGUUGUGGGGGAUAACCGAGGGAAACCUCGGCUAAUACCGCAUACGCCCGGGGCAACCCGGGGAAAGAUUUAUCGCAGCAGGAGGGGCCCGCGUCGGAUUAGCUAGUUGGUGGGGUAACGGCCCACCAAGGCGAUGAUCCGUAGCUGGUCUGAGAGGAUGAUCAGCCACACUGGGACUGAGACACGGCCCAGACUCCUACGGGAGGCAGCAGUAGGGAAUAUUGGACAAUGGGCGCAAGCCUGAUCCAGCAAUGCCGCGUGAGUGAUGAAGGCCUUCGGGUUGUAAAGCUCUUUCGCCCGCGACGAUGAUGACGGUAGCGGGAGAAGAAGCCCCGGCUAACUUCGUGCCAGCAGCCGCGGUAAUACGAAGGGGGCGAGCGUUGUUCGGAUUUACUGGGCGUAAAGGGCGCGUAGGCGGCCGAUCAAGUCAGGCGUGAAAGCCCCGGGCUCAACCUGGGAAUGGCGCUUGGGACUGGUUGGCUUGAGUUCGGGAGAGGAGAGUGGAAUUCCCAGUGUAGAGGUGAAAUUCGUAGAUAUUGGGAAGAACACCGGUGGCGAAGGCGGCUCUCUGGACCGAGACUGACGCUGAGGCGCGAAAGCGUGGGGAGCAAACAGGAUUAGAUACCCUAGUAGUCC
rnacentral:rRNA from 1 species